GAGUUUGAUCAUGGCUCAGAACGAACGCUGGCGGCAUGCCUAACACAUGCAAGUCGAACGUGAUCCUGGUUUCGGCCGGGUGAAAGUGGCAGACGGGUGAGUAACGCGUGGGAACCUGCCCUGAGGUAGGGAAUAACCGCGGGAAACUGCGGCUAAUACCCUAUGUGCCCUAUGGGGCAAAGAUUUAUCGCCUUGGGAGGGGCCCGCGUCGGAUUAGGUAGUUGGUGGGGUAACGGCCUACCAAGCCUUCGAUCCGUAGCUGGUCUGAGAGGAUGAUCAGCCACACUGGGACUGAGAUACGGCCCAGACUCCUACGGGAGGCAGCAGUGGGGAAUAUUGGACAAUGGGGGCAACCCUGAUCCAGCAAUGCCGCGUGGGUGAUGAAGGCCUUCGGUUGUAA
rnacentral:rRNA from 1 species